rnacentral:lncRNA from 1 species
UAGGAAAUCUAAACCAGACAGUACAAGGGUACAUUUCAGCGUUACAAGCCAAUCAGUUUGCUAAUUGUUCUGUGAGAUUUGUUUGCAAAGUUUAAGGUGUUAAAGCAGGAGCUGGCAUUCUGCCAGAGCCUCAGCAACAAGACCGCCUCCCAGCAACGAGACUGCCUGUCAGCCUUGCAAGGUACCCAAUUUUCCAAUUACUCUAUAACAAAACUGUUGUGGGCAACAAGACUGUCUCCUAUGUUUGCAAGCCAAUCACUUUGUUCUUGUAAGAUUUGUUUGAAAAGUUUGAGGUGGUAACUGUGAGCUGUGAACAUCCGGGUUUGCUUGCUGCUGGCAUUCGACCAGCGUCUCAGCAACAACACUGCCUCCCAGCUUUGCAAGGUAAUUACUUUCCCAAUUACUGUACACCAAAAUGGACUAACUGUCGUGGUCAACAAAUCUGCCUCCCAACUUUCAAGAUGCCGAGAAAAAAUAAAAGAUCCCAGGCACAAAAGAAGCGCUGGAAACCACUUGACUUGGUCGAUCCUGCUGUCCCAAUGCUCACUGGCCACAACCAAGAUGAGGCAGUCAGUCGUUUUCCAUCUGACCAGCAGACGGCACCAGCCAGGUUAUCUUUGGAAACACAGGAUAGACCCACCUCCUUAUGUUCCCCAGGUCCCAAGACAGCACCAGCCAGCUUGUCCUUGGAAACGGAGAAUAGACCCACCUCCUUAUGUCCUCCAGGCAGCAAGAUUUCAGACACUCGUCCACCAGCAAAACGAGUCUGGGCAACCGAUGAUUUCCACACGGCAUCAAUUCUCCACCUAAAAAGGUAACCCUAACCCUAUGUAUAGUCACCGGGGUUGAUAUUUAGUCUUUCACCUUAAGUGUGCUUGCUAACUCGUACUAAAUAUACUAAAUGUUAGACUAAACAUGUACAUUUGUCAAUUUCUUUCAUCAGACUCCUAAAAUGCAGACAUCUCAACAGCUGUCUGUUUAGCUGUUUCUAUAUCUAUUGUUCUGAAAAAACAUUUAUACCAUUUUAUACUUAAAGCUUCAGAUAAAUUGACAUCCACAGUGAAAAGCAGUGCAAAUAAAUACAAACAUUUUGUGACACUGAUCUUUUCUCAAGAUGAAUGUCAGUGUGUUCUGUUUCAAUCACAUUUAACCUGUAACUGAAUUUUGUGUCAUUUCUUUACAAAACGUAACACAACUAUGAAACGUGUUUUUAUGGCACAUGUACAGAACCAUCUGGUUUAAUCUGAAAUCAGUGAUUGAAUUACAUCUAAUUUAAGAGCAUCUGAAAUCCUCUUACGAAUAAUACGUAAACAGGAUUUCCUUUCAUAUAUUUGUAUUUAGGCUGCAAUUUAGUUGAUGUUUGAAGGCCCGCAUCAACCUAAAAUGUGUUAUACUGAAAGAAAUUAACUGCUUUAAAAAUAUGAGGAGCAGAAGGUACAGGUAUGACCUUUGUAAAAGGUCAUUAAAAAAACAGCUCUAAAGCAAAUUACAGAUAUCUAAAAUAUUUAUCAUUUUUACUUCCCACCUCUGCUCUCUCUCACUGUCCUGUCUUUCUGGCUUAUCUGAUGCUGUGUAUCUUUAGAUUAUGCUGUAAUAUGAUUGAGGAGUGAUAUAAUUUGGCUUGAACAUUGUUUCA